rnacentral:rRNA from 1 species
GAUGAACGCUAGCGGCAGGCCUAACACAUGCAAGUCGAGGGAGAGGUUAUCUUCGGGUAACCAAAACCGGCGCACGGGUGCGUAACGCGUAUACAAUCUGCCUUUCACAUAGGGAUAGCCCGAAGAAAUUUGGAUUAAUACCUAAUGGUAUAUAAGAGCGGCAUCGUUUUUAUAUUAAAGCUACGGUGGUGAAAGAUGAGUAUGCGUUCUAUUAGCUAGUUGGAGAGGUAACGGCUCCCCAAGGCGACGAUAGAUAGGGGUUCUGAGAGGGAUGUCCCCCACACUGGUACUGAGAUACGGACCAGACUCCUACGGGAGGCAGCAGUGAGGAAUAUUGGACAAUGGUCGGAAGACUGAUCCAGCCAUGCCGCGUGCAGGAUGAAGGUCCUAUGGAUUGUAAACUGCUUUUGUAAGGGAAGAAUAAGGAGUACGUGUACUUUGAUGACGGUACCUUACGAAUAAGCAUCGGCUAACUCCGUGCCAGCAGCCGCGGUAAUACGGAGGAUGCGAGCGUUUCCCGGAAUCAUUUGGGUUUUAAGGGUCCGCAGGCGGGGCUGAUAAUCUGAGGUGAAAGCGCUCAACUCAACUAACCACUGUCUUUGAUACUGUCAGUCUUUGAAUGAUUGUGAAGAUAGUUGGAAUGUGUGAGGGAGAGGUCUAAAGCUUCUUGUAGAUA